UCUCCUGGCACCAGUGUCUCCAUCUUCAGCUGGCAAGUGAAUACACGUGGCCAGGGAAAACCAUCUACUUAUUUGGGUGUAUUUGACUUUGACUGCUGGUAUCAGGCUCAAAUGCCAGGCUCACUAAGGCCAGAAGAAUCCCUUCAGGACUGCCCCUAUUUUGCACUGUGGUCACUGGACGCUGUGACAAGCACGACUGCUCCAAACCUCCUUCUGGAUGUUGUGGUGCAGGAGCGCAGCCUAAGCUGGAGAGUUCCUCCUUCUUAUCCACAACCUGAGCUGUGUUUUCAUCCAAGCACCUAUAAUUUUGAUGGCACGUGCCUGCUGAGCUCUGGAGUUGUUCAUGUGACGUGCAGCGGCUUCCAGAAGGAGGUGAUCUUUUACUGUAUCUUUAUUGAGAAUGUCAAGAGAUGGACCUUUCCUAAGCUUUCCAUGGCGCUGCUUUCGGUGUCAGGGACCAUUUAAUGCUCCUCCUGCCCAUCCACACGCAUAACUGCAAUUGUACCCUGCCAGUUUUAUCAAAUGUAACGUUUGAGG